rnacentral:rRNA from 1 species
GACGAACGCUGGCGGCGUGCCUAACACAUGCAAGUCGAACGGAACUGUUUUGAAAGCUUUCUUCGGAAUGAAUUUGAUUUAGUUUAGUGGCGGACGGGUGAGUAACGCGUGAGUAACCUGCCUUCAAGAGGGGAAUAACAUUCUGAAAAGAAUGCUAAUACCGCAUGACAUAUCGGAACCACAUGGUUUUGAUAUCAAAGAUUUUAUCGCUUGAAGAUGGACUCGCGUCCGAUUAGUUAGUUGGUGAGGUAACGGCUCACCAAGACCGCGAUCGGUAGCCGGACUGAGAGGUUGAACGGCCACAUUGGGAUUGAGACACGGCCCAGACUCCUACGGGAGGCAGCAGUGGGGGAUAUUGCGCAAUGGGGGCAACCCUGACGCAGCAACGCCGCGUGAAGGAUGAAGGUUUUCGGAUUGUAAACUUCUUUUAUUAAGGACGAAAAAUGACGGUACUUAAUGAAUAAGCUCCGGCUAACUACGUG